rnacentral:sRNA from 1 species
CAGCAGUGCAGCAAGAGAACCUGGACGAGGACCUCAUCCGGAAGCUGGCAUAUGUGGCUGCUGGGGAUCUGGCACCCAUAAACGCCUUCAUUGGGGGCCUGGCUGCCCAGGAAGUCAUGAAGGCCUGCUCCGGGAAGUUCAUGCCCAUCAUGCAGUGGCUAUACUUUGAUGCCCUUGAGUGUCUCCCUGAGGACAAAGAGGUUCUUACAGAGGACAAAUGCCUCCAGCGCCAGAACCGUUAUGACGGGCAAGUGGCUGUGUUUGGCUCAGACCUGCAAGAGAAGCUGGGCAAGCAGAAGUAUUUCCUGGUGGGUGCGGGGGCCAUUGGCUGUGAGCUGCUCAAGAACUUUGCCAUGAUUGGGCUGGGCUGCGGGGAGGGUGGAGAAAUCAUCGUUACAGACAUGGACACCAUUGAGAAGUCAAAUCUGAAUCGACAGUUUCUUUUCCGGCCCUGGGAUGUCACGAUGGCGUGGCCAAUGCCCUGGACAACGUGGAUGCCCGCAUGUACAUGGACCGCCGCUGUGUCUACUACCGGAAGCCACUGCUGGAGUCAGGCACACUGGGCACCAAAGGCAAUGUGCAGGUGGUGAUCCCCUUCCUGACAGAGUCGUACAGUUCCAGCCAGGACCCACCUGAGAAGUCCAUCCCCAUCUGUACCCUGAAGAACUUCCCUAAUGCCAUCGAGCACACCCUGCAGGUGAUAAGCUGUGGGAGAAGGGAAAGAGGCCAGGCAUCUGGCCAGGCUGCUGCCUCUUCGCCCCCAGGCCCUUGCCUUGCCUUCAGAUGUUGCAUGCCUAAGUGUAAGAUGUGCCUUUUCUCCAAACCUCCCUCCCUCACUUCCCACCAGGCAGCCUAGGUUUCUAGAAUGACUCAUUCUUUUUUCACUUUUAUUUUGAUUUUUUUUUAACACAUAGAC